rnacentral:rRNA from 1 species
AAUAUUGCGCAAUGGAGGGAACUCUGACGCCGCGACGCCGCGUGAGCGAUGAAGGUCUUCGGAUCGUAAAGCUCUUUCCUUGGGGAAGAAGGUCUUCGGACUUGACGGUACCUAAGGAGGAAGCCCCGGCCAACUCCGUGCCAGCAGCCGCGGUAAUACGUAGGUGGCAAGCGUUAUCCGGAAUUAUUGGGCGUAAAGCGCGCGCAGGCGGUUUCUUAAGUCUGAUGUGAAAGCCCACGGCUCAACCGUGGAGGGUCAUUGGAAACUGGGGAACUUGAGUGCAGAAGAGGAGAGUGGAAUUCCAUGUGUAGCGGUGAAAUGCGUAGAGAUAUGGAGGAACACCAGUGGCGAAGGCGACUCUCUGGUCUGCAACUGACGCUGAGGCGCGAAAGCGUGGGGAGCAAACA